rnacentral:rRNA from 1 species
UACGUAGGGACCAAGCGUUGUUCGGAUUUACUGGGCGUAAAGGGCGCGUAGGCGGCUUGACAAGUCACUUGUGAAAUCUCCGGGCUUAACUCGGAACGGCCAAGUGAAACUGUCAUGCUAGAGUGCAGAAGGGGCAAUCGGAAUUCUUGGUGUAGCGGUGAAAUGCGUAGAUAUCGUCUGGAACGCCAAAGGUGAAAACAGACUGCUGGGAGUGUGCUGACGCUGAGACGCGAAAGCUAGGGGAGCAAACGGG